CCUACGGGUGGCAGCAGUGGGGAAUAUUGGACAAUGGGGGGAACCCUGAUCCAGCCAUGCCGCGUGUGUGAAGAAGGCCCUCGGGUUGUAAAGCACUUUCAGUGAGGAAGAACGCCUGGUGGUUAAUACCCAUCAGGAAAGACAUCACUCACAGAAGAAGCACCGGCUAACUCCGUGCCAGCAGCCGCGGUAAUACGGAGGGUGCGAGCGUUAAUCGGAAUUACUGGGCGUAAAGCGCGCGUAGGUGGCUUGAUAAGCCGGUUGUGAAAGCCCCGGGCUCAACCUGGGAACGGCAUCCGGAGCUGCCGAGGUAAGGGGCGAGAGCGGAAGGUAGAAUUCCCGGGGUGGCGGGGAACUGCGUAGCGCACGCGAAGACUACCAGUGGCGACGGCGGCCUUCUAGACUGACACUGACCCUGUGGUGCGAGUGCGUCGGUAGCCAUCAGGAUCAUAGACCCCUGGAGGA
rnacentral:rRNA from 1 species